rnacentral:rRNA from 1 species
AAAAACUGAACUGCGAGCUGCCUUCGGGCGCCAACCUCCACCCGUGACUACCUAACACUGUUGCUUCGGCGGGGAGCCCUCUCGGGGGCGCGCCGCCGGGGACUACUGAACUUCAUGCCUGAGAGUGAUGCAGUCUGAGUCUGAAUAUAAAAUCAGUCAAAACUUUCAACAAUGGAUCUCUUGGUUCCGGCAUCGAUGAAGAACGCAGCGAACUGCGAUAAGUAAUGUGAAUUGCAGAAUUCAGUGAAUCAUCGAGUCUUUGAACGCACAUUGCGCCCCCUGGCAUUCCGGGGGGCAUGCCUGUCCGAGCGUCAUUGCUGCCCAUCAAGCCCGGCUUGUGUGUUGGGUCGUCGUCCCCCCCGGGGGACGGGCCCGAAAGGCAGCGGCGGCACCGUGUCCGGUCCUCGAGCGUAUGGGGCUUUGUCACCCGCUCGAUUUAGGGCCGGCCGGGCGCCAGCCGACGUCCAACCAUUUUUCUUCAGGUUGACCUCGGAUCAGGUAGGGAUACCCGCUGAACUUAAGCAUAUCUAGACCCGGGAAGAAAUCAUUAC